rnacentral:ncRNA from 2 species
ACUCAACUUCGGGGCAGGGUGUAAAUCCCGACCGGCGGUGAUAAGGCAAUCGCCUUUUAGUCCGUGACCCGCAUAAGCAUUACUCGUGCGUGCGGUGGAUCUGGUGCAAAUCCAGAGCCGACAGUAAUAGUCUGGAUGGGAGAAGUUCGAG